rnacentral:rRNA from 1 species
GACGAACGCUGGCGGCGUGCUUAACACAUGCAAGUCGAACGGAAAGGCCCUGCUUUUGUGGGGUGCUCGAGUGGCGAACGGGUGAGUAACACGUGAGUAACCUGCCCUUGACUUUGGGAUAACUUCAGGAAACUGGGGCUAAUACCGGAUAGGAGCUCCUGCUGCAUGGUGGGGGUUGGAAAGUUUCGGCGGUUGGGGAUGGACUCGCGGCUUAUCAGCUUGUUGGUGGGGUAGUGGCUUACCAAGGCUUUGACGGGUAGCCGGCCUGGGAGGGUGACCGGCCACAUUGGGACUGAGAUACGGCCCAGACUCCUACGGGAGGCAGCAGUGGGGAAUAUUGCACAAUGGGCUGAAGCCUGAUGCAGCAACGCCGCGUGCGGGAUGACGGCCUUCGGGUUGUAAACCGCUUUCGCCUGUGACGAAGCGUGAGUGACGGUAAUGGGUAAAGAAGCACCGGCUAACUACGUG